rnacentral:rRNA from 2 species
GGACUUUUAAGUCAGGGGUGAAAUCGCGGGGCUCAUCCGCGGAAACUGCCUUUGAUACUGGAAGUCUUGAGUAUGGUAGAGGUGAGGGGGAACUCCGAGUGUAGAGGUGACAUUNGUAGAUAUUCGGAGGAACACCAGUGGCGAAGGCGGCUCACUGGACCAUUAUUGACGCUGAGGUGCGAAAGCGUGGGAGCAAACAGGAUUAGAUACCUUGGUAGUCCACGCCGUAAACGAUGAAUGUUAGCCGUUGUCAAGUUUACUCUUCUGUGGCGCAGCUAACGCAUUAAACAUUCCGCUGGGGAGUCCUGUCGCAAAAUUAAAACUCACAGGAANUUGANGGGGGCCCGCACAAGCGGGGGAGCA